UAACACGUGGGUAACCUGCCUGUAAGACUGGGAUAACUCCGGGAAACCGGAGCUAAUACCGGAUAGUUCCUUGAACCGCAUGGUUCAAGGAUGAAAGACGGUUUCGGCUGUCACUUACAGAUGGACCCGCGGCGCAUUAGCUAGUUGGUGGGGUAAUGGCUCACCAAGGCGACGAUGCGUAGCCGACCUGAGAGGGUGAUCGGCCACACUGGGACUGAGACACGGCCCAGACUCCUACGGGAGGCAGCAGUAGGGAAUCUUCCGCAAUGGACGAAAGUCUGACGGAGCAACGCCGCGUGAGUGAUGAAGGUUUUCGGAUCGUAAAGCUCUGUUGUUAGGGAAGAACAAGUGCGAGAGUAACUGCUCGCACCUUGACGGUACCUAACCAGAAAGCCACGGCUAACUACGUGCCAGCAGCCGCGGUAAUACGUAGGUGGCAAGCGUUGUCCGGAAUUAUUGGGCGUAAAGGGCUCGCAGGCGGUUUCUUAAGUCUGAUGUGAAAGCCCCCG
rnacentral:rRNA from 1 species